GGUUAAGCGACUAAGCGUACACGGUGGAUGCCCUGGCAGUCAGAGGCGAUGAAGGACGUGCUAAUCUGCGAUAAGCGUCGGUAAGGUGAUAUGAACCGUUAUAACCGGCGAUUUCCGAAUGGGGAAACCCAGUGUGUUUCGACACACUAUCAUUAACUGAAUCCAUAGGUUAAUGAGGCGAACCGGGGGAACUGAAACAUCUAAGUACCCCGAGGAAAAGAAAUCAACCGAGAUUCCCCCAGUAGCGGCGAGCGAACGGGGAGGAGCCCAGAGCCUGAAUCAGUGUGUGUGUUAGUGGAAGCGUCUGGAAAGGCGCGCGAUACAGGGUGACAGCCCCGUACACAAAAAUGCACAUGCUGUGAGCUCGAUGAGUAGGGCGGGACACGUGGUAUCCUGUCUGAAUAUGGGGGGACCAUCCUCCAAGGCUAAAUACUCCUGACUGACCGAUAGUGAACCAGUACCGUGAGGGAAAGGCGAAAAGAACCCCGGCGAGGGGAGUGAAAAAGAACCUGAAACCGUGUACGUACAAGCAGUGGGAGCACGCUUCGGCGUGUGACUGCGUACCUUUUGUAUAAUGGGUCAGCGACUUAUAUUCUGUAGCAAGGUUAACCGAAUAGGGGAGCCGAAGGGAAACCGAGUCUUAACUGGGCGUUAAGUUGCAGGGUAUAGACCCGAAACCCGGUGAUCUAGCCAUGGGCAGGUUGAAGGUUGGGUAACACUAACUGGAGGACCGAACCGACUAAUGUUGAAAAAUUAGCGGAUGACUUGUGGCUGGGGGUGAAAGGCCAAUCAAACCGGGAGAUAGCUGGUUCUCCCCGAAAGCUAUUUAGGUAGCGCCUCGUGAAUUCAUCUCCGGGGGUAGAGCACUGUUUCGGCAAGGGGGUCAUCCCGACUUACCAACCCGAUGCAAACUGCGAAUACCGGAGAAUGUUAUCACGGGAGACACACGGCGGGUGCUAACGUCCGUCGUGAAGAGGGAAACAACCCAGACCGCCAGCUAAGGUCCCAAAGUCAUGGUUAAGUGGGAAACGAUGUGGGAAGGCCCAGACAGCCAGGAUGUUGGCUUAGAAGCAGCCAUCAUUUAAAGAAAGCGUAAUAGCUCACUGGUCGAGUCGGCCUGCGCGGAAGAUGUAACGGGGCUAAACCAUGCACCGAAGCUGCGGCAGCGACACUGUGUGUUGUUGGGUAGGGGAGCGUUCUGUAAGCCUGUGAAGGUGUACUGUGAGGUAUGCUGGAGGUAUCAGAAGUGCGAAUGCUGACAUAAGUAACGAUAAAGCGGGUGAAAAGCCCGCUCGCCGGAAGACCAAGGGUUCCUGUCCAACGUUAAUCGGGGCAGGGUGAGUCGACCCCUAAGGCGAGGCCGAAAGGCGUAGUCGAUGGGAAACAGGUUAAUAUUCCUGUACUUGGUGUUACUGCGAAGGGGGGACGGAGAAGGCUAUGUUGGCCGGGCGACGGUUGUCCCGGUUUAAGCGUGUAGGCUGGUUUUCCAGGCAAAUCCGGAAAAUCAAGGCUGAGGCGUGAUGACGAGGCACUACGGUGCUGAAGCAACAAAUGCCCUGCUUCCAGGAAAAGCCUCUAAGCAUCAGGUAACAUCAAAUCGUACCCCAAACCGACACAGGUGGUCAGGUAGAGAAUACCAAGGCGCUUGAGAGAACUCGGGUGAAGGAACUAGGCAAAAUGGUGCCGUAACUUCGGGAGAAGGCACGCUGAUAUGUAGGUGAAGCGACUUGCUCGUGGAGCUGAAAUCAGUCGAAGAUACCAGCUGGCUGCAACUGUUUAUUAAAAACACAGCACUGUGCAAACACGAAAGUGGACGUAUACGGUGUGACGCCUGCCCGGUGCCGGAAGGUUAAUUGAUGGGGUUAGCGCAAGCGAAGCUCUUGAUCGAAGCCCCGGUAAACGGCGGCCGUAACUAUAACGGUCCUAAGGUAGCGAAAUUCCUUGUCGGGUAAGUUCCGACCUGCACGAAUGGCGUAAUGAUGGCCAGGCUGUCUCCACCCGAGACUCAGUGAAAUUGAACUCGCUGUGAAGAUGCAGUGUACCCGCGGCAAGACGGAAAGACCCCGUGAACCUUUACUAUAGCUUGACACUGAACAUUGAGCCUUGAUGUGUAGGAUAGGUGGGAGGCUUUGAAGUGUGGACGCCAGUCUGCAUGGAGCCGACCUUGAAAUACCACCCUUUAAUGUUUGAUGUUCUAACGUGGACCCGUGAUCCGGGUUGCGGACAGUGUCUGGUGGGUAGUUUGACUGGGGCGGUCUCCUCCUAAAGAGUAACGGAGGAGCACGAAGGUUGGCUAAUCCUGGUCGGACAUCAGGAGGUUAGUGCAAUGGCAUAAGCCAGCUUGACUGCGAGCGUGACGGCGCGAGCAGGUGCGAAAGCAGGUCAUAGUGAUCCGGUGGUUCUGAAUGGAAGGGCCAUCGCUCAACGGAUAAAAGGUACUCCGGGGAUAACAGGCUGAUACCGCCCAAGAGUUCAUAUCGACGGCGGUGUUUGGCACCUCGAUGUCGGCUCAUCACAUCCUGGGGCUGAAGUAGGUCCCAAGGGUAUGGCUGUUCGCCAUUUAAAGUGGUACGCGAGCUGGGUUUAGAACGUCGUGAGACAGUUCGGUCCCUAUCUGCCGUGGGCGCUGGAGAACUGAGGGGGCUGCUCCUAGUACGAGAGGACCGGAGUGGACGCAUCACUGGUGUUCGGGUUGUCAUGCCAAUGGCACUGCCCGGUAGCUAAAUGCGGAAGAGAUAAGUGCUGAAAGCAUCUAAGCACGAAACUUGCCCCGAGAUGAGUUCUCCCUGACUCCUUGAGAGUCCUGAAGGAACGUUGAAGACGACGACGUUGAUAGGCCGGGUGUGUAAGCGCAGCGAUGCGUUGAGCUAACCGGUACUAAUGAACCGUGAGGCUUAACCUU
rnacentral:rRNA from 1 species